AUAGCGUAUAUUAAAGUUGUUGCAGUUAAAAAGCUCGUAGUUGAAUUUCGGGAUCAAUAUGUUUGGUCGUGCCUCGGUACGUACUAGCUUAUUGGUUUCUCCUUUCUGAAGAACCAUGAUGUCAUUCAUUUGGUGUCGUGGGGAAUCAGGACUGUUACUUUGAAAAAAUUAGAGUGUUUAAAGCAGGCUCACGCUUGAAUACAUUAGCAUGGAAUAAUGAAAUAGGACGUUUGAUUCUAUUUUGUUGGUUUCUAGGAUCGACGUAAUGAUUAAUAGGGAUAGUUGGGGGCAUUAGUAUUCAAUUGUCAGAGGUGAAAUUCUUGGAUUGAAUAAAGACUAACUUCUG
rnacentral:rRNA from 1 species